rnacentral:lncRNA from 1 species
GGGGAGGGGGACAUGUCAUAGACAUCUCCUAGAAAUAUGAUGAAAAUUCACGGCCAGUAUAGACACUCCUGCUCAAGCAUGCUGUCUCAUGAGUAGGGAAAUAGCUUUAGGGUACCAGCCUGAGUCAAUAGGGUCAUAUGAAUCAGCUGUAAAUUGUCACCUGGACUAGGUCACAGUGGUCACGGGUAUUCCUGGCCCCUGAAAUGAGGGCUCUGUCUGACUUGAGGCAGUGGCUCAUCUCUUUGAACUUCAGUUUCUCAAGAUGAGCAUGGUAAUGAUGAAACUCAUCCCCUGGAAGCAGCGUCCUGACGUGCGGGCCAUCUGCUUGGAAAUCUGUAUUCACUGGUGUGCACGAUCAAGGGCUGAGAGAACAGAUCUAGAAGUGGCAGUUAACCUUGCCAACCUGCCAUGGACUGGACUAUGAGAAGGGGAUUCCAAUCAAGGCCAAGUCUACAGUAGUGAGGCAGGAAGAGGAGUUCAUUGACCUUCAGAAGCAACUGACAAUCAGACUCAUGCUAAUGUGCAUGAGAAGCAAAUCAGUCCCUGUAGCUUGAUGGUACAUGCUCAUCACAAAUAGCCCGGAUGUCAUCACCUCGUCUCUCCAGGACAUCCUAUGGAUCAGCAUAUGAAGAGUGAUAAAGUUCAGAAGUUGUGUCUUUUAAUAAAAAGAGCAACAUACACAUAUCAUGGAAUACACAAAUAAGUUCUUUCUCCAGGGAGUAAAGAUACCAACAUGGAGGUUGUGCUCCCAUUACUUUCUUCUACAGACUGUCAACUCACUUCCUAAUAUGUAGUGGACAGAUUUUGCAUUUGCCUGCCUAGCAUCCAAUCCCCUAUUUCUAGAGAAAAACACCUUAUUUUCCUUUGCAACAAUCUUGGGUGAUUCUGGUGAAGAAGACCUCAUCACCAGCUCCACAUGUAAGCUAGUGACCCAUGUGUGCCAGUCGUACUACGAUUGGAAAUGUGACUUAAAUUAGCCUCCUAGGACUUUCAGGGAGGCAGGUAGUAAUGGAACAAAGUGUAAGUUUUUCCACUGACAUUGCUGAGUUGGUAGGAAGUAAGCCUGGAGACGGCAGGUACCACCUAGAGAUUGGCAUCUGGAGAAUAAAGCCAACAGAAAAGAGAGUGAAAGAAGGAGAAAGGGGUGCAUCCCGGUGACAUUUGUUUAAGCCAUUGGAUUCAACUGACAAAACCAUUCCUUAAAAUAUUUAGUUACUGAGCCAAUAGAAACACUCUUUCACAUGACACCUAUUUGAGUCAAACUUCUAUCACUUGCUAGCUCAAGAGACUUCAUAAAUCAGAACAAAACUGAGCUAUAAUGACACACUAUGAAGAGCCCAAUCCUGUCCCCCACGGUGGCACAUGCCAGGGUGUCUGGUUGGGCUGCUUUCAACAGGCCCAGUGAGACUUUCUGAUUCAUGUCUGAGAUCUUUAUUGUCUGGGCUUUGGAGAUAUUGUUAUAUUUUUUAAAAUAUGAUUUGCUCUCCAAUAGGGAGUGCUCAUGAAUCAUUUGGAGUUAGGUCUGUGGAGUAUAAGUGGUCCAGCAGGUAACUCCCAGUGCAUCCUUGAGGAUUAACAUUUUAUAAGGAACGCUGAGAUACAGUUAUCUUAAAAAAAUAUUGCUCGUUUUAACUUGAUUUUUUGCAUUUGCUGAAGUAGGGUAGGUUUGCAUGGUCUCAAGUGAGUUAGAUUUGGGCCUGGGCUAUCCAUUUCUUUAUCCUGUGCUAGCUCAUGUAUAAGGGAGUUCUGUGUUCUCAAUUUUCGAUGAAGUGUGGAAAACUUAAGAAAAUUAUCUCAUGCUAGGUUCUAAAGGAAACUGGCCAUACAGAAUGUUUGGAAAUGUGUUUCCUCUGAGGGUUAUGGAGUUUCCAAAUCCACUUUACUAAGUAUACAUCUUUAAUUUGCAUCCAAUUAGAUAAAGCAGCUGGAUAGAACACAGAGCGCGUGAUAUUAAUUCAUUAAUUCAGGAGUCAGAGCGGCAGUUUAUGCACAGCCAUCACGCAGAUGAAUGCAUUUAAAUUGCUCUAAUCCACAAAUUGGA